rnacentral:lncRNA from 1 species
CACGCCAUGCUUCCCACAGGCAUCGUCCUCUCAACAAGGGGGGGUGAGCAAAGAUCACCAAGUUUACCCAGAUAUUUGACCUCAGGCGUGCCUGCUCUAUUCCUUUAAAAGAAGGAAAUCCAAGGAGAUGGGGAGCAAAACAAUGGCUCCGUUAAAGUGACUUUUAACUGUUGUUUCACCUCUGGCCCCUUUCCACCAAAAUCUGAGCCCUGCCCUGCCAUAUUUAGAACCGUUAACAUGUAAACUGAGGCACAUUAAACAUUUUAAGAGCCAUUUGAGCAGCAUCGGUAAGAAUGGGAAGUGGUGAGGAGUGCCUUACUAACAGAAGCUGGAGGAAAGAGUUUUAUAGAGCAGGUGCAGAAGCAAAGAAAGGAAAUUAUUUGAUUGGCUACAGCUUAAAGCCUAGUUGGCCGUUAGUGAUUGGUUGUCCUUAGGUUUUGAUUUCCUAACCUGACGCCUUUACAGGCUUAUGUUUUAGUUUGCUUCCAUGGGUCAUGGAAGCAUUAAGGCCACUUCAGUCAAGUGGCCUCUUUGUUUAAUGAAUUUAACACAACCUGGCAAAGAAAAUCGUGCUGGGUUUAAAUGAUAUAUUUAAAAAAAAUUUUUUUAACGUUUAUUUAUUUUUGAGACAGAGAAUGUACGGGGGAGGGUCAGAGAGAGGGAGACACAGAAUCUGAAGCAGGCUCCAGGCUCCGAGCUGUCAGCACAGAGCCCGAACGGGGCUCGAACUCACGGACCGCGAGAUCAUGACCUGAGCCGAAGUCGGACGCUCAACCGACCGAGCCACCCAGGCGCCCCUUAAAUGAUAUAUUUUAAUGAGACACGUGUAUCACACGUUGCCUGGUGCUGACAGCAGUCACUCCCAGUUUUCUUGGCCACGACAUGGAGAGCCACGAAUCUGUUCCAGAAUGACCCCUGGCUGCCCCUGGAAGGUGCACAGGCAAACCUCAUCAAAGAAAAUGAAAGACAAGUCCACACUGGCUACUGGAAGUCGAUGCUUCAUCUCUCCGUUGCUGGGACCCUGGCUGUGGAGCAACACGGUGGGCUUGCAGGGUUCAAAGAAAAUGGAACUGUCACCUAAAAACCAUACUGCUCAUGUGUGCUGUGAAAUGCCAUUCUCUGUAACAGUCUCUUUCGGACAUGGCUAAUUACCAAGGCACUAAGCCAAUUAUCUGUAGACUCACCCCUGAGGAUCUAGCUUCUCCAAAGCUGUCCUUUCUGCCCCUUGCUUCCUCACAGGAAUUUACUCUUUUCUCCCCCUACUGGGAAAGCAGUUGCCUUUUUAAAUAUAGGUCAUAGAACCUCCAUAUGGGCCAAGAGCCAUCCGCUAGGAGCGCACAGGAUAGAGAAAUCUUUAUAGAAACACUGCAAUUCCCC